AAGUGGCCUCGGACUCAUCGGAGCCAUCAGGACACUCCUCCUCGCCGUCACACUUCCACCGUUCGUGGAUGCAGUGGCCGUUGUCACAGGGAGAAGAAGACAAAAGGCGGUGAGGAGGAGCAACAAGAAGUCGUAAUGUAUGAAGAACCUGCAGCAGACUCAGGCACAUGGCAGAUGCUGGAGAAGUGGCAGCUACUGUUGUUUUCAGGGUUUGAGUCUUAAUUAGAAGCUGAAGGAAUGGGGUUCUGUGUCCACACAGGGGAUGUAGCAGGCUGAGAGCUCACAGCUGGUUACGGAGCUGAGAUAAGAAUGCAGCAGCCCUAGGCCUCUGAAUUAUUGGGGGCUCAUCUGCAUCAAAUCUGCAUUGAACUCACACAUGCCCUGUUCCUGCUGGACCAAGCAUCCAGGACCCGCUACAGAACAAGGUGAGGAAGAGAGCACUGGGCAGGGAGUCCGGAGGUCUGGAUUUGAGACACUGCUGUGCUAUUUUGCUCUGUAUCCUCAAGCACAUCAUGGCCCUUUUCUGGCCUACAGCUUCUUCAUCAGGAAAAGAGAGGGUGAUCUGGUGAGAGAUAAGCUUUCAGGUGUGGUAGUUCGAGACCAGGAGGCCCAGAAAUGAAGACGGCAGGGGGGUCUCUUUUCAGCCUAAAAGAGGAUACCUCAGCACAGCAGUGACUUACCCCAGGCCUUGGGGCGCUCAGACCACCAAAGUCCUCCCCUGGAAUGAGCUUGGGAUGGAUUUAACAUCAGGGGCCACUAGGAUGUGGCCUCUCCCCAGGGGCUUAGAAGUCCCGUGGCCCCAGCCUGCCCCGCUCCCUCAUCUUCCCCUCCUCAUACUUCCCAAUCUAGCCCCACCUCAACUGCCGGUGGGUCCUCAUAUACUCCAUGCUUUUUAUACCAUCAUACCUUGCCCAAGCUGUCUUUAGUCUGAAAGCCCCUUCCCCCACCUCUCACCUUCUUUCCAUUACACACUGGGCUUAAGUAUCACCUCCAGUCUUGAUCAGUAGCCUCUCCUGAGCUCCUACAAUCCCCUGAAUGUCCUUCUAGGGCAGAGGUUGGCAAACUUUUUCUGUGAAGGGCCAGAUAGUAGCUAUUUAGGCUUUGAGGGCCAAAUGGUCUCGGUCACACCACUCAAUCCUGCCACUAUGGGGCAGAAGCAGUCAGAGACAUUAGAUAAAUGAGUGAGCAUGGUUAUGUUUCAAUAAAACUUUAUUUACAAAAAACUGGUGACAGGCCAGGCCUGUGGCCUGUAUUUUGAUGACCUCUGCUCUAGAUCAUCACUGAUUGCGAGUCCAACAUGGUUUGCUUUCUUCCCUGUCCCUGCAGCACAGAGACUGUCAAAUUCAGCAAGAAUCCAGCUUGGGGUAGGUCUCAGUGCGGGACACUGAGCUAAAUGCGAGCACAGCCCCCCAGCCUCUGCUCCAUACUUACAGUUCU
rnacentral:lncRNA from 1 species